rnacentral:tRNA from 1 species
AGGGUGCUAGCUCAAUGGAAGAGCACCUGCCUUGCAAGGUGGAGGUUGGUGGUUCGAUUCCUCCAUGCCCUA